AGUGCCUUUUAAGGCCAAAAAAAUAAUUAUCUUGUUUCCUGCUACCAGCCUAAAAAAAAUUGGGUAGGUAGACAGGAAAAUUAUUUUAUUUUUUAAUUUCUUUUCAUUUUCGAUAUGAACUAAUACAUAACCAAAUUAAACAUGUCAUAGACCAAUAUUUUCAUUACAAAUUAAUUUUUGUCUUUUGAUGCAUGACUCAAGUAGUAUGUUAUGAAAGUCCAUAUUUAAAACAUAUACCAAGUAGUAUCCUAAAAUACCACUUGAAUAUACAUUAUUUUUUUUCAGUUUUAGAACAUGGAACAUGAAAUUACAGAAAUUCCAGAUUUUUUCCAAACCUAAAAAACUGUAGGGUCAGGUGCGAAAAAUUAAGGAUAUUAAAACAAAAUAAGAAGAAUAAUUGUCAAGUGCCCACUGAUGCUGGAGUCCAUGCUGUAGAAAAGACAUGAAACAGAAGUGAGAAAAUGUCAACAUGAGUCAUCUAUGAAGAUGGAGAUUGCCUCUAUUCUAAAAUUUCUGAGGAAAAUGGUGUUGUCUGGCUCAUCCAAUGAUCACUCCAUUUGCAGACUACCAGGUUUCAAUCUGAAGUAUACAUAGGAAGAGCAAAAUCUUUCUCAUUCAUAUACAAUGUAAACACUUACAACCUGUGAUCCAGAAAAAUGUCCUGAUUGUUU